rnacentral:lncRNA from 1 species
GGAUGUGAAGGUGAGAAUGUUCGGGCGUUGCCUGCUGAUCCAGCAUGUGCAAAGUCUUCUGCGUUUCAGAGUGUUCCUUGCUGCAUAGCAUCUAACAAAGGCGGAUUCUGCAUCUCCGAGUGGAGAGAACAUUACUCUGCCCAGGUAAAAUUCCUUUCCCAUGUCUAGACUAUCUACAGUUCUGGAACCACAGGCGUGGCGAAACUCUGUGGUUUCACCUAAAGCCACAAGAUCUGCAGGUGAUUUGUUGGUUAACAAGAGAGAAACCAAGACACUCAUACCAGGGGAAAUCCAGCGCACAUCUGCGCGCAGAUCAAUCCUUCCUGACUAAAGUCCUCCAAAAUCUGGCUAGCUUGGCCUCACUGGGAAUGGGGAACAUAGGCCCAUGCCAUGUGCCCACCCACCUGCGCUCACAUGUCCUGAAUAAAUCUUCCACCUGGACCUGAAGAUCUUUUAUUCAGUCCACAACAGUGGUUCUCAACUUUCCUGAUGCUGUGACUCUUUAAUACAUUUCCUUGUGUUAUGGUGACACACAUCCCCAAUAAAAUAAUUUUAUUGCUA